CCUACGGGAGGCAGCAGUCGAGAAUUAUUCACAAUGGGGGAAACCCUGAUGGUGCGACGCCGCGUGGGGGAAUGCAGGUCUUCGGAUUGUAAACCCCUGUCAUGUGGGAGCAAAUUAAAAAGAUAGUACCACAAGAGGAAGAGACGGCUAACUCUGUGCCAGCAGCCGCGGUAAUACAGAGGUCUCAAGCGUUGUGCGGAAUCACGGGGCGUAAGGGGUGCGUAGGCUGUUUCGUAAGUCGUGUGUGAAAGGCGCGGGCUCAACCCGCGGAGGGCACAUGGUACGGCGCGGCUUGAGUAAUGGGGGGGGAACCGGAAUUCGUGGUGUAGCAGUGAAAUGCGUAGAUAUCGCGAGGAACACUCGUGGCGAAGGCGGGUUCCUGGACAUUAACUGACGCUGAGGCACGAAGGCCAGGGGAGCGAAAGGGAUUAGAUACCCUUGUAGUC
rnacentral:rRNA from 1 species